GAUGAACGCUGGCGGCGUGCCUAAUACAUGCAAGUCGAGCGAACGGACGAGAAGCUUGCUUCUCUGAUGUUAGCGGCGGACGGGUGAGUAACACGUGGAUAACCUACCUAUAAGACUGGGAUAACUUCGGGAAACCGGAGCUAAUACCGGAUAAUAUCUUGAACCGCAUGGUUCAAAAGUGAAAGACGGUCUUGCUGUCACUUAUAGCUGGAUCCGCGCUGCAUUAGCUAGUUGGUAAGGUAACGGCUUACCAAGGCAACGAUGCAUAGCCGACCUGAGAGGGUGAUCGGCCACACUGGAACUGAGACACGGUCCAGACUCCUACGGGAGGCAGCAGUAGGGAAUCUUCCGCAAUGGGCGAAAGCCUGACGGAGCAACGCCGCGUGAGUGAUGAAGGUCUUCGGAUCGUAAAGCUCUGUUAUUAGGGAAGAACAUAUGUGGAAGUAAAUGAGCACAGCUUGACGGUACCUAAUCAAAAAGCCACGGCUAACUACGUG
rnacentral:rRNA from 1 species